AGGAGGAGGAAAAUCUCCUAGACUUGUUAUGAGGAAAAGGGAUUCUUUUCCUUUAAUGGUUUCCUGCCAUACUGACUUAUUUUUCAAGCUACCUUUGAGGAAAAUUCUAUCGAUUUCCUUGUCAUUGAACUUAAAACAAGCUCCAAAAUAUUUAUUAUGUGAAAAGAAGAAUCAUAGGUACUUUUAACUUAAUAAAUGAUGAGAAAAGUGUAGGAAAAAUAAUCAUAGAAGGUUGAUGCAUGGUUGAGAAGUGCACAUGUAAUUCUCCUGAAAAAAGUUCCAUAUUUUUAUAUGACACAUUUUGUUCUUUCUUUCCUUUAAACAAUUGAUUUGCUAUAUAUCCAAUUCUAUGUUCAAUUUGUUUAGUUGGCUGAUGUGAACUGGCCAGCGAGCAAUUACUAUUUCGGAAAGGUAGAAAUCCAGAAAUCAUGCAAUCAAAGAAUACAAAAUGAGAUCAAGAUCAGCCAUGUUAGUUCAAGAGCUGAUGGAUGGCAUUAUGGAGACAAAAGCUUUCAAAUGGAGACUUAAAAAUGAUUGGACAAUGCAUUAUCAAUAUGUCCAAUGUUGAGUAUAUCAAACUACUGCACCUUUUGCUACAGUCUGACGGUUAACAGAUGAUAUACAACAAGGUCUUUGGAAUGAUCAACUUUUACGAGGAUGCAUCUUCUUUUUGUCUUUCUCAUCAGUGGAAGCAAGCUAAAGAAUGUGUUUUGUUACAAAUACAUAUUGUAUGACUUUGUUCCUCAAAUAAAUGUACACCAUAUGAAAUUAUAUUGUUAAUCUUUUACCAGCUUGAUAUCAUUACAUGAUUUUAGUAAUACUGAUGUCAGGCAUAUGCCCGUGCACACGGGCUAUCUAGUCUAGUAUAACUAUAUAAUAAGUGAAGGUUCAUGAGUAUGACGAAGGGCAUUUUCGCAAAUAUGAACUUCUUUAUGGCUAAUUGUAGGCAUAGCUUUGUGCCCUGAAAAACAAACACGUGUCCCACUAAAACUCCACCUCUUCUACACACUUCGGUUCCAUUUCAAUGGUAUUCUCUCUCAUUCAUCUUCUUCACUCCUAUAUUUUAUCAUUGCAGUGCAUUUCUUUCAAUAGUUAUUCAUUUUGUAGAUAUCUUACGAAGGUUGCCCAUUUCGCCUAAUUUGUGUAUGGUAAGCUUUCAGUUUGUGGGUUAAUUUUUGCUAUAUUCUCUUCCUUUUCAUUUAAUUUCUUCUAGUUUCUUUUUGUUUUUAUCUUUUACUUUUGGUCUUCUUUUUUGGAUUUCAUCCGUUGCUUUUUAAUUUUGCUCACCAUGGAGAUGGAUGUUAUUUGUCUUUGCUCUGUUUUUCCAACCAUGUAUGUGUUAAUUUACAGUGACAGGUAACAAAUUUCAAGUGGUCUAUGCACCUUGGUUUAUGAGGAUAUACAAAGAGAAGUGCUCUCACCGAUUCUCCAGGAUUUUCAGAAUUAUUCAGGGAAUCAUUAUCAAAUUAAUUGAUAUAAUCUAGAAACAAAGCCAAACGUUGUUGCUUCAAUCAACACUCAUGAUCAAGAAUUCAGGUA